GCCUAACGGCUGAACCAGCAACUUGGAGGAAUGUAUGUUUGCAUCAGGUGCAAAGUCGAUUACGUUGAUUAAAAUUCCAGGCAGAAUUAUGAUAAUGACAUUGUCUGCCUGAAUGUCUUGACCAAAUUACGUGCCAGCAGUCGCGGUAAUACGUAGAAGACUAGUGUUAUUCAUCUUUAAUAGGUUUAAAGGGUACCUAGACGGCAAAUCAAGCCUUUCGGGACUAUCUUGCUAGAGUUACUUAUGAGGGGGCAUUAAUGUACUAAUGGUGUAGAGAUGAAAUUUUGUAAUACCUUUUCUUGAAAGGAAGUGAUGGCACAGGUAUAGGCGAAAGCAUCCCCUUAUGUGAUAGCUUUGUGUAGCGAACAGGAUUAGAUACCCUAGUAGUCAAAGCAGAAAAUGAUGAAUGUCAUAGAUUAAUUUAUUCUAUAAAUUAAAGUGUAAACAUUCCACCUCAAGAGUAAUUUGGCAACAUUGGAACUGAAAUCAUUAGACCGUUUCUGAAACCAGUAGUGAAGUAUGUUGUUUAAUUUGAUGAUCCGCAAAAAACCUUACCAUGAAUAUGUACAAGCGUUGCACGGUUGUCUUCAGUUAAUGUCGCGAGACUUUGGUUAGUUCCACCAAAUUAACGUAAGCCCUUACUUUAUUUUUAGAUAAAGUUGUUCCCCGCUAUAUUGGACAUGAUAACAGGGACUAAGACAAAUCAUCAUGGCCUGAAUACUAUAAACCUUACAAAAGGGUGUGAAAUUGUGAAAUUGAGCUAAUCCCCC
rnacentral:rRNA from 1 species